AAUAAGUUUUAAUUAAAAAAUAAGUUUUAAUUAAGAUUCUUUUACAGAUACUUUCUACCUGUGUAGGUAACAAGGAACCGCAGCUUACGUGUAACUUCCUUAAUGCUCACAUAUCCAUUAACCUCAGAUAUUGGAGUGAGGGACUGGGGAGGAAGCCGUGAGAGCUGCACAAGGGCACGGCUUUUGGGAGGUGACCCGAGAUGAUCCAGGACCCGUUCUUACCGUGAAAAAGGCAGGUUUUAGUCAAAGAAUCGGAAAGCUCGUGUCCAUACAGUUACAAAAGCAACAUCACGAGCAGUCAAACCAGCACCCGCAGUAAAACCUGAGUUUAUUGUAAGUUUUUGUAUCACACGUUACAAGACACCGGACUGCUGGCGGACGCCGGCACGCAGCACAGCCCUGCCGGGAGCCGACACCCUUCGAAACCAGACCACGCUGCCACCCCCUCCCAGGGACCCUCCCAGCCGCCCCCUCCCCAGAGCCGGGCGGCCCGAGCGCAGCCCCCUCCCACGCUGGGCAGAGCGUGGGAGUGGGACCGCGCCACACGGGGGGACGCCGGCCCGAUCCGCCGAGGCUGCGCCGCGGAGCGGGGAAAGCGGCGGUGAGCAGGGCGAGGAGAAGGCAGGGAGCCCAACUUCGGGCAGAAACACCAACUUUUAACAGCCGCAAGACCCUGGUUUUGACCAACGACUACUGCUUUUUCUAUAAGCAAAGGAGCUCUGAGAGGCCCUUGCCACAAACAAAUCGCUCCGACAGCCAUCGCGCUCUCGAGCGUAUUUUCCAGCGGUCUCAGCCGCGGUGUUCGCAGUAACUCCCCGCCUCCAGGUUUCACCUUCAGCAUGUUCAGGAUUCCUGGUGGUCCUGAGCCCCCGUGCUGCACGCCUCGCCGUGGGCCAUCGCCCCCAGCCCUCCUUCCCCCCAGAGCCACCGUCCUGUACCCAGGGGGAUGAGCCGUGGUUCAACCGAGUCCUGAGGAAGCGUCGUUUCCUACAGAAGUGACCUGCUGAUGUCACCUCCAGACCUUGCCAGCCCUAAUUCCGCACCUUCCUCCCGACGCUUACCUGGGUAAGAGCUAUGGGAACACCUUUUCUUGUCCUAACACUGCUCCACAUGGAAAUCAAUGCUCUAAAACUGAUCUGAAGUUACACGCCGAGCACCACACGAGGCACACACCAGAAGUUAAAGCCAAGAGACCUCACAGGCAUCUAAACUUUAGUUACCUGUUUCAACUCAACUUGCAAGUUUAAGAGACUGCAUCUGACCAGACCUAGUUUACACAAAAAUCACAAUGUCAGUACAUCCAUACUGUCAGUAAACAGAAAAACUGUAAAUCCUGAAUGUUUUGACUUCAACCUCACAUCAGUGAUGCAAGCAGUUCGUUAACUUCUAAGGGUUGCUACGGGUAUGGCAAAAUAAGACACUGGUGGAAGAACUCAGUAUUUCACUGCAAUGUGCUGAUCCAAGCAAGGAAGACACCUGAGUUCAUCUACCAGCUCACUCAAGUUAAUUGGCACUUGUAAGGGAUUCAGCUUCCCUUCCACAUUCCAAGAAGCUGACCUGAAUUUGGAGCGGCAUCAUUUUAGCUCAUAUCUAAUUAAGACUUUGUCACACCCACUUCUUAAAUAGUUCUUUCCAUUACUGCUGUACAGAGCUUGCUGCCUUAUCCCUUGCCCUGUCCUUCAGACUUCAAAAUCAAGUGUGUGACGGUGCCCAACCCUAGAGGAAGGGUGCCCUGUCCGUGAUGCGAGGGUACGCACGGGACUGAAGGGAACCACGGCACGGCAGCAAGCACGUCCCCGCUCGCCACGCCUGCGCAGCUGCAGCUUCCAGAGCCCGGGGGACCAAGCGACGUCCGAACAGCGUGAGCCCAACCUGCCCCCUAAGAUGCCAACUUCCCCCGGCGGGGUGGGCGGCUGGCGGGAGCCUCCCCAGAGCCCCACCAGCAGAGCCGUGGCUGCCGGCGCCGGGGACCGGGAACCGGAGCUCAGCGUGCCGGGAGGAACGCCCCGCGCAUCGCCACGCUCCGGCCCGGCGUGCUGAGGUACGCAGGUCGACCAGCUGCGCUGAAUACUGUCUCGUUCCAAGCUUGCUUUUUCUUUUAAGCAGCCGCAGAACAUGAGUAAUAUAUACUGGGCAGGCA